UCGCCACUCUGUUCUCUCUACCGCUCUGCUGUAGAGCCUCAUCUAUCUUUAAUAAUGCAGUCAGCAGAAAAGGGAGACGUCACCCCUGUGGAUCUACAACAUGAAGAAUUUCAGAAGAAAAUAAUACAAAAGGAGGAAGAUGAUGAUGAUUUCUUCUGUGAAGUCACUUUAAUCCCUGCAGAACUUGUGGCUUCUGUGGAACUGCUCUUCUCAGAGGACCAACAGUGUGGAGG